CCUACGGGGGCAGCAGUGGGGAAUAUUGCACAAUGGGGGAAACCCUGAUGCAGCGACGCCGCGUGAGUGAAGAAGUAUCUCGGUAUGUAAAGCUCUAUCAGCAGGGAAGAAAAUGACGGUACCUGACUAAGAAGCCCCGGCUAACGACGUGCCAGCAGCCGCGGUAAUACGUAGGGGGCAAGCGUUAUCCGGAUUUACUGGGUGUAAAGGGAGCGUAGACGGCGCUGCAAGUCCGGAGUGAAAGCCAAUGGCUUAACCAUGGUACUGCUCUGGAAACUGUGGAGCUUGAGUGCAGGAGGGGCAGGCGGAAUGCCUAGUGUAGCGGUGAAAUGCGUAGAUAGUAGGAGGAACACCGGCGGCGAAGGCGGCCUGCUGGACCGUAACUGACGUUGAGGCUCGAAAGCGUGGGGAGCAAACAGGAUUAGAUACCCUGGUAGUC
rnacentral:rRNA from 1 species